rnacentral:rRNA from 1 species
GAUGAACGCUGGCGGCGUGCCUAAUACAUGCAAGUCGAGCGAAUGGAUUAAGAGCUUGCUCUUAUGAAGUUAGCGGCGGACGGGUGAGUAACACGUGGGUAACCUGCCCAUAAGACUGGGAUAACUCCGGGAAACCGGGGCUAAUACCGGAUAACAUUUUGAACCGCAUGGUGCGAAAUUGAAAGGCGGCUUCGGCUGUCACUUAUGGAUGGACCCGCGUCGCAUUAGCUAGUUGGUGAGGUAACGGCGCACCAAGGCAACGAUGCGUAGCCGACCGGAGAGGGUGAUCGGCCACACUGGGACUGAGACCCGGCCCGGACUCCUACGGGAGGCAGCAGUAGGGAAUCUUCCGCAAUGGACGAAAGUCUGACGGAGCAACGCCGCGUGAGUGAUGAAGGCUUUCGGGUCGUAAAACUCUGUUGUUAGGGAAGAACAAGUGCUAGUUGAAUAAGCUGGCACCUUGACGGUACCUAACCGGAAAGCCACGGCUAACUACGUGCCAGCCGCCGCCGUAA